rnacentral:rRNA from 1 species
UACUAUUUUUACACCAUUUUAACACCUUGGUAUUAAGAAUGUAAUCAGUCUCUUAGUUGAGCAUAAAUAAUAUAAAACUUUCAACAACGGAUCUCUUGGUUCUGGCAUCGAUGAAGAACGCAGCGAAAUGCGAUAAGUAAUGUGAAUUGCAGAAUUCAGUGAAUCAUCGAAUCUUUGAACGCACAUUGCGCCCUUUGGUAUUCCGAAGGGCAUGCCUGUUCGAGCGUCAUUUUCAACCAUCAAGCCCGGCUUGUAAUUGGGUCCUUUAUCGUUAAACAGAUAGGCCCGAAAGAUAAUGGCGGCGUCAAGAUUAGACCCCAGGUGCAGCGAGCUUUUGUUAAGCAUACACUGAGGUGGUCGUCUUGUCCUGGCCUUGAAAACACAUUUUUCUAAGGUUGACCUCGGAUCAGGUAG